UACUGUUUUAAAGAUAGUGUGCUUUUUAUGCUUAUAUUCUGUUCAUUCAGUUUUUGUCCAAUGUAAACUUGUUCUAUAGAGUUGUUAUUUUCCCACCUUUUAGAGUUUGUAGAAUCCUGUGUUUUCAUCUUCAGGAACUGUAACUUAUCUUAUCUUUCAGGGAUAGGGAGUACAUAGUGGAGGUGGCCAGAUAGGCCAUGAGAAGAUGAAGCAUUUGUCAUGACCACACAUUGUUUCCAGGACCUCCUGAGAAGCCUGAUAGAAUCCUAGGGCUUCCAGAAACACUUUUGGAAAAACACAGAGCUUUCUAACUUCAUAAAUAAAAUGUGAAUGGUGUGUGAUAGGUGUAACAAACAAAAUGUCAGAACUGGCUUUUUAAAUAUCUUUAGAUUUUUGCAUCUCUAUAGAAAUUAUCACUAAUAAUAAAUAAUUACAUGUGAAUGAUUUUGCAGACA
rnacentral:lncRNA from 1 species